rnacentral:tRNA from 1 species
GCCUUCGUGGUGUAGUGGACAGCACAAUCAACUCGUAUUCGAGAGUCCGUGGUUUGAAUCCCGGCGAGGGAA